rnacentral:rRNA from 1 species
UGGAGCCUGCGGUUUAAUUGGACUCAACGCCGGGCAGCUCACCGGAUAAGACAGCUGGAUGAUAGCCGGGCUGAAGACUCUGCUUGACUAGCUGAGAGGAGGUGCAUGGCCGUCGUCAGUUCGUACUGUGAAGCAUCCUGUUAAGUCAGGCAACGAGCGAGACCCACGCCAACAGUUGCCAGCAUGUUCUCCGGGAUGAUGGGGACACUGUUGGGACCGCUCUGCUAAAGAGGAGGAAGGAAUGGGCAACGGUAGGUCAGCAUGCCCCGAAUUAUCCGGGCUACACGCGGGCUACAAUGGUCAGGACAAUGGGUAUCGACACCGAGAGGUGGAGGCAAUCUCCUAAACCUGUCCUUAGUUCGGAUUGUGGGCUGCAACUCGCCCACAUGAAGCUGGAAUCCGUAGUAAUCGCGCUUCAAAAUAGCGCGGUGAAUAUGUCCCUGCUCCUU